AUAAAUUGAGAGUUUGAUCCUGGCUCAGGACGAACGCUGGCGGCGUGCCUAAUACAUGCAAGUCGAACGAGAAUUUCUUACACCGAGUGCUUGCACUCACCGUGAGAAAUUCGAGUGGCGGACGGGUGAGUAACACGUGGGUAACCUGCCCAAAAGAAGGGGAUAACAUUUGGAAACAAAUGCUAAUACCGUAUAACCAUGAUGACCGCAUGGUCAUUAUGUAAAAGGUGGUUCUGCUAUCGCUUUUGGAUGGA
rnacentral:rRNA from 1 species